CUAGCUCCCAUUCAUUCUCAAUUGCUGUCUCUAUCCAAUACCUACAUAAACAAUAAAAAGAAUAAAGAAUAGAAAAUUAGCCCAGGGAGGUCUCAGCCUAGGUUCAUUCCCUGUCACCACUUGAAAUAAUAAUAAUUCUUUCCAUCACCUGGGUAGCAAGGUGUGUCCAGGUGAUGUAAGCGUGGAAGGUGUGUGUGCUAUUCCAGAAUGUGCCAGCGAGGGUAGGAUGGGGUGGAACUCUUCCUUAUUCUCUCCUGCUACAAACUAGCAGUAGUGGCCAGGUUUUGUGGGUCUGUAAGGACAAAGGCCACCCAAGCGUGGCAAAGCAGAAAAUUGGAGGCAGCCCACACCCCAGGCAAAGCAGGGCAGCACACAGCCUCUACCCAAAACGGCAAAUGGGAGAGACAGCAACACCCACAGUACCGGGGCAGGUGGUAAGAAGCUCAGCUCCACAGCUGCGUAUUCUCAGAAUCCAAGUCCAAGUGGAGCUUCCGGGAGGACCCGGGCAUCCCCCAGAGCACCUUGCCGUGGAGGCUGGAUAACCAAGCCUGCCAGGAGCUGCAGCCACACCUCGGACCCCCACAGGCUGAGGUUCUGUGAGCUGUUCUCUUGCUUCUGGAAGGUCAGCAGCCAGGAGCCCCAGCUGACAGACAGCAGCAGCUGGGCAGCCGGCAGCCACCAGCCAGCAUGGGAACAGGAAGGAGCAGCCAGCAGCUUCUGUCUCCCCCAAACACAACCUCCCAUGACCCCCCGUGCUCAGGCAGCCAUUACUGCUCUCCAACAAGUGAGCCCAGAGCUUGGGGGCUCCCACUGAGGCCCCUCGCCUAGGAACUCUGGGUGCGUUACACAGUCAGGGGUCCCAGGAAGUUCUGAGCAAACCCUCUAGAGAAACUUUAUUACUGUUUGAGUCUUAUUUUCAGAGGGAGAGAACAGCACCGAGAGCCCUGGCUCUAAGUGUCAGAAAAUCUGGAAGAAGAAAGAAGAUGGGAGGGAAAGGAAGGGAGUGAGCAGGUGCAAAGUUCUGGUUGGGAACCAGGCUCUGUCUCACACAUGAGCCUCGCCUCGCCAUGUCGUUCCCAGUCCCUUGCUGACAAUACUAUGGCGCUAUGAGGAGGGAAGUGUCCCAGUGCUAACCCUGACUCCCUGAGCUAAGUCUCAGGGAGUUAACUCCUGAGCUAAGUCCUGACUCCUAAGUCUCCAGGCCAGGGAGGGUGGCUCAGCAGUAGAGUCCAAGAUUUGCAUGCAUUAGGACCCUGGGUUCAAUCCCCAGCACCACAUAUGCUGAAGUGAUGCUCUGGUCUCUCUCCAUCAUGACAUAUAAUCAAUAAAUACCUUUAUCUUAA